CCAAUAGCGUAUAUUAACGUUGCUGCAGUUAAAAAGCUCGUAGUUGAAUUUCGGAACCAAUAUGUUGGUUGUGCCUCGGUACGUACUGGCAUUGUUGGUUUCUCCCUUCUGACGAACUAUGAUGUCAUUAAUUUGGUGUCAUGGGGAAUCAGGACUGUUACUUUGAAAAAAUUAGAGUGUUUAAAGCAGGCUCACGCUUGAAUACAUUAGCAUGGAAUAAUGAAAUAGGACGUUUGAUUCUAUUUUGUUGGUUUCUAGGAUUGACGUAAUGAUUAAUAGGGAUAGUUGGGGGCAUUAGUAUUCAAUUGUCAGAGGUGAAAUUCUUGGAUUUAUUGAAGACUAACUACUGCGAAAGCAUUUGCCAAGGAUGUUUUCAUUAAUCAAGAACGAAAGUUAGGGGAUCGAAGACGAUCAGAUACCGUCGUAGUCUUAACCAUAAACUAUGCCGACUAGGGAUCGGAUGAUGUUAAUUUUUUAAUGACUCAUUCGGCGCCUUACG
rnacentral:rRNA from 1 species